GAGACAGCAGUCGCCGCGGUAAUACGAAGGGUGCAAGCGUUAAUCGGAAUUACUGGGCGUAAAGCGUGCGUAGGCGGUGAGUUAAGUCUGCUGUGAAAUCCCCGGGCUCAACCUGGGAAUGGCAGUGGAUACUGGCUCGCUAGAGUGUGUCAGAGGAUGGUGGAAUUCCCGGUGUAGCGGUGAAAUGCGUAGAGAUCGGGAGGAACAUCAGUGGCGAAGGCGGCCAUCUGGGACAACACUGACGCUGAGGCACGAAAGCGUGGGGAGCAAACAGGAUUAGAUACCCCCGUAGUCCCUGUCUCUUAUAC
rnacentral:rRNA from 1 species